rnacentral:rRNA from 1 species
GACGAACCGAGCGAACGUUGUUCGGAAUCACUGGGCUUGAAGGGCGCGUAGGCGGGUGCUCAAGUCUGUGGUGAAAUCCUCCGGCUCAACCGGAGAACUGCCAUGGAUACUGGGUGCCUCGAGGGUGAUAGGGGUAUGCGGAACUAUCGGUGGAGCGGUGAAAUGCGUUGAUAUCGAUAGGAACUCCGGUGGCGAAGGCGGCAUACUGGAGCACUUCUGACGCUGAGGCGCGAAAGCCAGGGGAGCGAACGGG